rnacentral:rRNA from 1 species
CCUACGGGGGGCUGCAGUGGGGAAUCUUGCACAAUGGGCGAAAGCCUGAUGCAGCAAUGCCGCGUGAGUGAUGAAGGCCUUCGGGUUGUAAAUCUCUGUCGGUUGGGACAAACGGUUUCAUGGUUAAUACCCAUGAGAAGUGAUGGUACCAGCAAAGGAAGGGGCGGCUAACUCUGUGCCAGCAGCCGCGGUAAUACAGAGGCCCCAAGCGUUGUUCGGAAUUACUGGGCGUAAAGGGAAUGUAGGCGGUGACGUAAGUCAGAUGUGAAAGCCCC